rnacentral:rRNA from 1 species
CGGGACACGUGGUAUCCUGUCUGAAUAUGGGGGGACCAUCCUCCAAGGCUAAAUACUCCUGACUGACCGAUAGUGAACCAGUACCGUGAGGGAAAGGCGAAAAGAACCCCGGCGAGGGGAGUGAAAAAGAACCUGAAACCGUGUACGUACAAGCAGUGGGAGCACCCUUUGGGGUGUGACUGCGUACCUUUUGUAUAAUGGGUCAGCGACUUAUAUUCUGUAGCAAGGUUAACCGUAUAGGGGAGCCGGAGGGAAACCGAGUCUUAAUUGGGCGUUAAGUUGCAGGGUAUAGACCCGAAACCCGGUGAUCUAGCCAUGGGCAGGUUGAAGGUUGGGUAACACUAACUGGAGGACCGAACCGACUAAUGUUGAAAAAUUAGCGGAUGACCUGUGGCUGGGGGUGAAAGGCCAAUCAAACCGGGAGAUAGCUGGUUCUCCCCGAAAGCUAUUUAGGUAGCGCCUCGUGAAUUCAUCUCCGGGGGUAGAGCACUGUUUCGGCUAGGGGGCCAUCCCGGCUUACCAACCCGAUGCAAACUGCGAAUACCGGAGAAUGUUAUCACGGGAGACACACGGCGGGUGCUAACGUCCGUCGUGAAGAGGGAAACAACCCAGACCGCCAGCUAAGGUCCCAAAGUCAUGGUUAAGUGGGAAACGAUGUGGGAAGGCCCAGACAGCCAGGAUGUUGGCUUAGAAGCAGCCAUCAUUUAAAGAAAGCGUAAUAGCUCACUGGUCGAGUCGGCCUGCGCGGAAGAUGUAACGGGGCUAAACCAUGCACCGAAGCUGCGGCAGCGACACUGUGUGUUGUUGGGUAGGGGAGCGUUCUGUAAGCCUGUGAAGGUGUGUCGUGAGGCAUGCUGGAGGUAUCAGAAGUGCGAAUGCUGACAUAAGUAACGAUAAAGCGGGUGAAAAGCCCGCUCGCCGGAAGACCAAGGGUUCCUGUCCAACGUUAAUCGGGGCAGGGUGAGUCGACCCCUAAGGCGAGGCCGAAAGGCGUAGUCGAUGGGAAACGGGUUAAUAUUCCCGUACUUGGUGUUACUGCGAAGGGGGGACGGAGAAGGCUAUGUUGGCCGGGCGACGGUUGUCCCGGUUUAAGCGUGUAGGUGUGUGUUCCAGGUAAAUCCGGUUCACUUUAACACUGAGGCGUGACGACGAGGCACUACGGUGCUGAAGCAACAAAUGCCCUGCUUCCAGGAAAAGCCUCUAAGCAUCAGGUAACAUCAAAUCGUACCCCAAACCGACACAGGUGGUCAGGUAGAGAAUACCAAGGCGCUUGAGAGAACUCGGGUGAAGGAACUAGGCAAAAUGGUGCCGUAACUUCGGGAGAAGGCACGCUGACACGUAGGUGAAGUGAUUUACUCAUGGAGCUGAAGUCAGUCGAAGAUACCAGCUGGCUGCAACUGUUUAUUAAAAACACAGCACUGUGCAAACACGAAAGUGGACGUAUACGGUGUGACGCCUGCCCGGUGCCGGAAGGUUAAUUGAUGGGGUCAGCGCAAGCGAAGCUCCUGAUCGAAGCCCCGGUAAACGGCGGCCGUAACUAUAACGGUCCUAAGGUAGCGAAAUUCCUUGUCGGGUAAGUUCCGACCUGCACGAAUGGCGUAAUGAUGGCCAGGCUGUCUCCACCCGAGACUCAGUGAAAUUGAACUCGCUGUGAAGAUGCAGUGUACCCGCGGCAAGACGGAAAGACCCCGUGAACCUUUACUAUAGCUUGACACUGAACAUUGAGCCUUGAUGUGUAGGAUAGGUGGG